GAUGAACGCUGGCGGCGUGCCUAAUACAUGCAAGUCGAGCGAACAGACGAGGAGCUUGCUCCUCUGACGUUAGCGGCGGACGGGUGAGUAACACGUGGAUAACCUACCUAUAAGACUGGGAUAACUUCGGGAAACCGGAGCUAAUACCGGAUAAUAUAUUGAACCGCAUGGUUCAAUAGUGAAAGACGGUUUUGCUGUCACUUAUAGAUGGAUCCGCGCCGCAUUAGCUAGUUGGUAAGGUAACGGCUUACCAAGGCAACGAUGCGUAGCCGACCUGAGAGGGUGAUCGGCCACACUGGAACUGAGACACGGUCCAGACUCAUACGGGAGGCAGCAGUAGGGAAUCUUCCGCAAUGGGCGAAAGCCUGACGGAGCAACGCCGCGUGAGUGAUGAAGGUCUUCGGAUCGUAAAACUCUGUUAUUAGGGAAGAACAAAUGUGUAAGUAACUAUGCACGUCUUGACGGUACCUAAUCAGAAAGCCACGGCUAACUACGUG
rnacentral:rRNA from 1 species